rnacentral:rRNA from 1 species
GCAGGGAAUCUUGCGCAAUGGGCGAAAGCCUGACGCAGCGACGCCGCGUGGGGGAAGAAGGCCUUCGGGUUGUAAACCCCUUUUGUUGGGGAAGAAGAUCUGACGGUACCCGACGAAUAAGCCUCGGCCAACUACGUGCCAGCAGCCGCGGUAAUACGUAGGAGGCGAGCGUUGUCCGGAUUUACUGGGUGUAAAGGGCGCGUAGGCGGCUGGGAAAGUCUUCUGUGAAAUCUUCCAGCUCAACUGGAAGGGGUCAGGAGAUACUUCUCAGCUUGAGGGGAGCAGAGGAGGGUGGAAUUUCCGGUGUAGCGGUGAAAUGCAUAGAUAUCGGAAGGAACACCAGUGGCGAAGGCGGCCCUCUGGGCUCUACCUGACGCUCAGGCGCGAAAGCGUGGGGAGCAAACCGG